CAUGGAGAUGGGGGGUGGAGAGUCUGUGGACAUGUUCUGCCUCAGUUUUAGCUAUGCUGGGCAUAACUACUGUUUUUGGGAAGGGGACCAAUGUGGUGCUCUCCUCUGCUCCAGAUGAAUCUGACUAUCAGACUGAGUAUGAGGAGGAGCUGCCAGACAUCCCCAAGGACACAUAUGCUGACUUCCAGAGCACUGGGGUUGAGUUGGACUCUGACUCGGAGGACAAUCCUUCACUAUUGCAAUGGCACCCUGGCCUGGCUUCCUCAGAACAGCCCCAGGACUCCUUUCCCUGGCUCCCUGACAAAGAUAAGCAGGAGCCUGGGCACUAA
rnacentral:lncRNA from 1 species